rnacentral:lncRNA from 1 species
AUUUUAUAUUUAUUUAUUUAUUUUUAACAUUUCACCAAUAAAAAAUAAUAAUAAGCUUCAACAAAAAUGUCUCCUCAUAGGUAUCUUCUGCAUGGACAGGAAGAAUCAGUCAAAGCCAGAUUUUUCCAGUGGUUUCUUUGUAGACUACUGCAAAAACCAAGGUGUUUUGGAGGGAUCAGGGAAUGCUGUCAGCUGAUGGUCAAGUAGAAGGAGCACCAGUGAGUGCCCUUGCUUUGUUCUGCUCCUGGGAUCAGGAUACCAAUGGAGUUCACUUUGCCUGGGGUAUAUAAACAAAUACUAAUAUUGAUAUGAACCUGGUUACUGAAUAUUUGUAAUAUGCUUGUGUAAUUAUAGUUAGAAGUGUAUAAAAUGGAGCCUUGACAAUACUCCCAGUCAGAUGCAUUGCUGUUUUGUAUCAUUUGUUUGAACAUGUUUUAUUGCUCUAGAAGAACUAAUUACUGAAAUAUUUUGUCAUUCUAUAUUAUUAAAUGCAGAAGGCCUGAAAAGAACUGGAUGGUGGGCUAAAGGAUACUGAGAAAGCCACCAAAUUUUAACUUUGCUUCUGAUGAAACAAGAAUGACAGUAGUUUGGGGGCAAAUGUACAGAAAUAUAUUUGUUUCUUAAUGUAAUUCAGAACAAUGCCUACAGGUGAAUAUUACAGGACAUACAGAAUAUGAUUAAGAAAGAACAGGUGUCACUAAGUUGACUGGUUAUGUUGACCUUGAUAAAGUGAUUAAAUCAUGCAUCAUUAUGUUCCACAGCAAAAUUUUGUUUAGUUCAAAACAGAGUUUGAAAAAAAACACUAGGAAAAUGUUCAAAAUGCCAAAGGAGUAGUGAGAUCUGAGCAUGACUGAAUGUUACUUUUAAGCCUAUAUUCUUCCUUUGAUGCAGGCUUACAAAUCCAAUUAACAUUAAUGAGAAAUGUGUUGUGCCCAUAUGCAAACGAUGAGCUGAGAACCCCUACUGCCCCCUCCUAGAUUUCUUUGUAUGUUUCAAGUAUUGAACGGUUACAUUGAAAGCAUAUUCUGACUUGAAAAUUUUCAGUUUUGUGUUUAUACUGCCCUAAUAAAAAUGGAUAGUGACAAAAUGUAAUUGCUUCAGUAACAUCUUGCAAGAACAUCAAGAAUGUCUUUUAUGUUUCAGCAGUUUGGAAGAAAAAAAAAAAAAAAACGCAAAACCAACAAAUAAUGCCAAUGUAUUUUGCACAGAUCACAUAACCUACAUUGUAUAAAUCACAAAGCACUGACAGUUCUGUAAACAUUGUUUUAUGAGGUGUUAAAGUCAGAUUUCU